rnacentral:rRNA from 1 species
CCUACGGGCGGCUGCAGUGGGGGAUAUUGCACAAUGGGGGGAACCCUGAUGCAGCGACGCCGCGUGGGUGAAGGAGCGUUUCGGCGCGUAAAGCCCUAUCGGCAGGGAAGAAGGAGGACGGUACCUGACUAAGAAGCCCCGGCUCACUACGUGACAGCAGCCGCGGUCAUACGUAGGGGGCAGGCGUUAUCCGGAUUUACGGGGUGUAAAGGGGGCGCAGACGGCAGCGCAAGCCAGGAGUGAAAGCCCGGGGCCCAACCCCGGGACUGCGCUUGGAACUGGGCGGCUGGAGUGCGGGAGGGGCACGCGGAAUGCCUGGUGUAGCGGUGAAAUGCGUAGAUAUCAGGAGGAACACCGGUGGCGAAGGCGGCCUGCUGGACUGCGACUGACGUUGAGGCCCGAAAGCGUGGGGAGCAAACAGGAUUAGAUACCCGAGUAGUC